rnacentral:rRNA from 1 species
UUGCCAGCGGGUUAAGCCGGGCACUUUAAGGAGACUGCCAGUGGUAAACUGGAGGAAGGUGGGGAUGAUGUCAAGUCAGCACGGCCCUUAUGGGGUGGGCUACACACGUGCUACAAUGGUGACUACAAUAGGUUGCAAUGUCGCAAGGCUGAGCUAAUCCGUAAAAGUCAUCUCAGUUCGGAUUGUCCUCUGCAACUCGAGGGCAUGAAGUCGGAAUCGCUAGUAAUCGUGGAUCAGCAUGCCACGGUGAAUACGUUCUCGGGUCUUGUACACACUGCCCGUCACGCCAUGGGAAUUGGCUUAACUCGA